GAUGAACGCUGGCGGCGUGCCUAACACAUGCAAGUCGAGCGAGGGUUUGCUCAGUAUUGAGUAUUUUAAGACUAGAAUGUUCAAUUCUGAGCAAAACCAAGCGGCGGACGGGUGAGUAACGCGUGGGUAACCUGCCCUAUACACAUGGAUAACAUACUGAAAAGUUUACUAAUACAUGAUAAUAUAUAUUUGCGGCAUCGCAGAUAUAUCAAAGUGUUAGCGGUAUAGGAUGGACCCGCGUCUGAUUAGCUAGUUGGUGAGAUAACUGCCCACCAAGGCGACGAUCAGUAGCCGACCUGAGAGGGUGAUCGGCCACAUUGGAACUGAGACACGGUCCAAACUCCUACGGGAGGCAGCAGUGGGGAAUAUUGCACAAUGGGCGAAAGCCUGAUGCAGCAACGCCGCGUGAACGAUGAAGGUCUUCGGAUCGUAAAGUUCUGUUG
rnacentral:rRNA from 1 species